ensembl:lncRNA
GUGUGCUCACUGAUAGCUCAAUGUGCGACAGGUGUGCGGCCCCGGAGUACAAUCAGUGUGACUCUGGCCAGGUGAGGCUGCUUACACCCGCCCUCAUCUAUUGUUGGUACUAUGUGAUCGUCAACAGAGUAAUCUAUGCCCUUUGGUCAGUGUUACUAAAUAAGGCCGUCAUUCUGAGAAAACAGGAGCCGAAUCCUUUUCUCUGCCAACCGCUUUGUGAAUGUUCCACCCGGCCCCAACGGUCGGAGGCCUUCAUGUCCCAUCAAGUCGCCGUAGUCCUGGAUGUGUAAACUGUAACUUGAAACGCCAACUCGGCCGUAUUAACUGGGUCCUUUAUUUAAUUUUGCAUGCUGGGAAGGAUGUAGCCCACCGCGGCGAUGCUACGAUAUCUAACGAACGAUACGGACAGUUUGCUCAGCUUCCUUCAGUUAUCAGCUGAUUGGUCCCCAGUCCCACGGUGCGCUGGUGUGUGUCCGUGGUAACCCUCACCUCAGUGCCCUCUCCUGGAGCCGUGCCGCUGCCCUUCUCUGACUUUGGCGGCUCAGGACGUGGAUCGGUUGUACUCCGUGUACUGACUCUUCUAUCGAUGGUCUGGCCCGGAGCGGACUCACAGGGCUUCUGACCUCGCUUGUAAAGAAAAUGGAGAAAGAUUUAGGGAGAGAGCGCGCAGGGUGCUAGGGGAAGCAGCUCGCUGUGCAGCUGCUCUGGAUGCCUUUGGAUUACAUCAGAGUGGCUGAGAAAACAAGAGGCAGCGAGAGGGAGAGAGGGUGAGGAGGAGACACACUUCACACAUCACACAUGUUUCCACUGCUUGCUUUCUUUCCUAAGUACACACACACACACACUUUGACUCGCGCACACACACACACACAC